GGAAUGCGCCCGAUCUCGUCAGAUCUCGGAAGCUAAGCC
rnacentral:rRNA from 1 species